rnacentral:tRNA from 13 species
GGAAGGCAUUCGUAUCCGGUGGUACGGCCGGGCUUCAAACCCGGUUGGGGGUGUCAGACACUCCCGGGUCAGUUCGACUCUGGCUGCCUUCCGCCA